CACCAGCGAAAGUGAUCAGCUGUUUUCUUAAAAACAAGACUAAAAAAUGUCCUCUCAGCUUGCUCUGAGUUACAUUCCAGAACAUUCCAAAAGUCAGUCCUUCGAUUUCCACCUGCAAGCCAAGGAUGUUUUUCUCUUAAAUUGUAAUGAUACCACUAGACUUUAUUAAUUGUUUCAACAAACAGACAUCUAUGUCCAUUCAUUAAAAAAAAAAAAAGGACAGGGUAAAUAAAUCAACUUUCAAAUCAUGUCCUUCUGCAAACACCAGCUGCACCGGAAAAGGAAGGCAGCCUGUUAGCAGGCUCUGGCUGCUGUGCCGGGCUGGGGCUGUCCGUAUCCAUGCCCAGAGCCUGUUAAUGCGUCCUACAGCCCACAGGAAAGAACCUCAGCGGAAAGCAAGAAGGCAGAACAAUUGUGUGAACUUACCUCCCCUUCUUACUCUCCAAACAUCUGGCUCCUGCAUGUGUCACUUUGAUUCUAACCUGCUCUGGGGUUGUUGAUGGGGAAAAUCACCACCUGGGCGAGAAGCGGGGCGUGGACCAAGUACUUCAUUACAGAACAGUUAGCACAGGCUCACUUUUUGUAGCAAAAUAGUGGAGCAGGUAAUGGAGUGGUGGUACACAGGUAAAUGCAGACAUGAAAGGCGCUUAACCACUCGGCCACGGGGCUGGCCCCUAAUCAGUGCUUCUUGCAUCGGUGAAGAAACUAGCCAAAGCUACAUAGUAAGUGUCAAAGGUGAUCUCCAUCAGAACUUCAGGCUCCAGUGCAUUCCACUGUCUCUCAUGGAACUUAGAAACAAGGAAGUCGGUCACUGGAUUGAGGCAUUAAUUCUGGAAUGAAGGAAUAUUAAUGAAACGAUAAAACACUGAGUAGAGUUCAUUCAACUUUCAAAAAUAUCUGUUGAACGCUUACUAUGUCUAGGAACAGAGAUAAGAAAUAUUUUGAUGGAAUGCGCAAGACAUCUAAGGGAAAGAUUCUGCGUGGCUGUGGUGGAUUAAGUAGCAUCACUAGGGGAGUCCCAGUGUCACAUAGGCACCAUCCUAAGACCAGGCACUCAGGGGGAGGUGGCCUGGCCUCAGGAAUGUAGUAAGUUGGAUAGGUUUAGAGUGAUUCAUGGCCAUCACCAGAAAUAGCCUCAGGGACUCCUGCAUAGCCAACUUACCAUUCUCUUCUCCUGUCACUCUAUGCAGAAUGGAGAUGAGCUAUCAAAGGAAAAGUGUCUAGAAGGCACAGCCAAGUUUCCUCCCACCUCGGUCAUCAGCCAGAAAAAAGGAGCUGGAGUUCCAGGAGGAAAUCUCGUAUUAGAACUUGUUGUUUAUCAAGAGCACCACCUGGCACAUCUUUAGCCACUGGUUUCUGUUAAAAGUGGGAAAGGGAGCCAAAUAAAUCGGAGCUUGUCAUUUCAAACACCUGGAUGGUAGGGGAGGGAGGGGAAGUCAGCGAUCUAGGGACGCAGAGGUCAUUGAAAAUCCAAGAGCAGGAGUCUUGAUAGCAUCUGACUUGUGGAAACUGCAUCCUCCAGGUCAGGAGCCCACCGGGACUCCUUCAAGGGCGAGCAGGCAGGAAGCGGGAGCACAGGAGCCAAGACUCAGAGAAUGCUCUGAUCUGCCAACAUCAUGGGGCCUUCCUGCCUUCUGCUCUGGAUCACCACAAGUGACCCUAGUGGCUUAAAAAACCACCUCAGGGUUUUGGCAGGUGCUGAGAAAUAGCAGGAUAAAGACAAACUGGUGGGAGCAUGAAGCCCAGUCCUGGUUAUGAAUCAAACUUAGGAAAAGGGAUGGAUGGUUUUGCAGGCAGUGACCAACACUGGCCAACAGAACCUUGUGGAAAUGGGCAAAUGAAGAGUUAAUGAAAGCCAGCCAGAUCAGCAAAAUGUCAUAGCCCUAUUUGAACAUUCAUUUUGAUUUCCUCACUCAAGUUUUACUAGGACAAUGGGACACACAAUAAAAUGAAUUUCAGUGGAGAAAAUAGACUUCGUUAGUUACUAAACAUGUUGCUUUUGGAAAGUUUGUGUUUAUAUGAUCUUUUUUCUAAAAAUUUAAUGAUCUUAGGUCAGUUUGGUUACUCAAAUCUGGACUAUAAAAUGGUAUUUCAAUUUUUUGUGCAAGACAAAGUUAGGAAAAAUAGCUCUCUUUACUAAAACUUGAAAGUCAUUAAUAUAAAAAUGUUUUUAAAUUAAUUUAUUCUUGUCAUUUGUUUCCAGAGACUGGAACUCACAUUUGAUGCCUGGAUUUGUCUUAGUCGGGCCUUUCGAAUCCACUCCUACAGGCUUUCCAUCUGUGCAUUCCUCUUUCGAUUAGCCCUGAGAUAACUACUGCCAGUCCUCCUCUUUUUGCUGAGGGAGCCUGGCCCUGAGCCAACAUCGUGCCCAUCUUCCUCUACUUUAUAUGUGGGACGCCUACCACAGCAUGGCGUGCCAAGUGGCGCCAUGUCCACACCCGGGAUCCGAACCAGCGAACCCCAGGCCGCCAAGAAGUGGAACGUGCGAACUUAACCGCUGUGCCACCGGGCCAGCCCCAAGAACAAAUUUUUUUUAAUUAAAAAGGAAACUCAGUGAACUGCUAUUGACAGCAUAUCUUCAAGGAAGGCCUCUCUGAGACUGUGACUUUAAGAUGAGACUUGAAGGAUGAAAAGAAUCCAGCCUGUGAAAAGUGUGGGGAAGACUCAGGAUGGGGGGCGACAUUAACAAAUGCACAUUUGAGAACCUGAGAGAGCACUGUGACUAAGCGUGGAGAGCAUCAGGAGACAUCAUGAGAUUAGAUGAAGAGGAAAGCAUGCUCCAUAAACAUACGCAGGGGCAUGGAGGACAAAAUACAGAGCUUGGACUUUAUUCCGUAUGGGAAGCUUUGGUUAGUCUCACCCUUUGCAUGUAUAUACUACUCUUCAGUCAGGGACUUAUACAUGAAACCCACAGAUUUCUGGAUUACCCCUCUGCACAGCUCUCUUUUCUGCCGCCCUCUUGUUAUGGACUGAAUGUUUCUAUCCUCCUAAAAUUCGUAUGUUGACACCCGUAUGCUCAAAAUGAUGACAUUUGUAGGUGGGAUCUUUGGGAGGCAAUGGGGUUUAGAUGAGGUCAUGAGGGUAGAGUGCCCACGAUGGGAUUAGUGUCCUUACAAGAAGAAGAGACACCAGGACCUCCUCUCUCUCCAUCAUGUGAGGACACAGCGAGACGGCAGCCAACUGCAAGCCCAGAAGGGAGCCCUCACCAGAGCACUGAGUGAGCCCACCCCUUAAUCUCGGACUUCCCAGUUCCCAGGCCUGUGAGAAACAAAUUCCUGUUGUUGAAACCACUCAGUUUAUGGUAUUUUGUUAUGACAGCCCGUGCAGACGAAGACACUUAUCCUGCAGAUUCCAGCCACUUCAGCUGCCCCAAAUUCUGCUGUCCACCUCCUCAGCUCAAGGGCACCACUGUACUCUGCUUGAACCAUUUAAGUGGAGUCCUGAUCCCCUAUGUGGCUCUUCAAAGUCCUCCCUCCACCGUUUGAGCUUCUGGCUGUAGUACUACUCCCACCUGAAUCACCCAGAACCCUAAAACUACCCCUGAUGGGGCAAGAUAAUCUAGAAAGAUAUUUUCUCAAAUGGACAAGUCAGAUAGUAAAGAACAGUUGAGUUCCAAGAGAAAAACAGUCCACUGUGGCACUCUUAAUACCUGAGAGCUAUAUUCAUGUAAUACUUUACUCUAAAUCUAGUCAUCUAUCAGAAUCGGCUGGGCAGCAUUAAAAAUAUAUAGAUUCCUAGCGAUUUUUGCUUCAUCAAGUACAUUUAAAGGUAGUUUGAGGGAUCCUCAUACAACCAGCCUAAUCCUGAGUUUCAAACGUAUUCAUUUAGGACCUCCACUGGUUAGUUUCCAUUUUCCUCAAUCCCCCAGAUCUAUUCUCCACCUUUGGUGGCCCUGUCCGGCAUGCUGGGAGGCUGACUGAGGCAGACUACAUGCUCUCAAGGAUGCAGAGAUCUCUCGGCUCCCUGGCGAGAGACCAGAGGGCCUCACAUCUCUUCCCCAGGACCGCCCCCCCGCGGUUCUGGUUUUGAUAGCCGCUCUUCCCUGUGUGGUUACAGCCAAUAGUUUGCUGUUGCCAGCUUGUUAAAUUUUCAGCAAUUUUGUGAGCUAGUUGCUAAACAUAGACUGCAUUUAAAAAUAAAG
rnacentral:lncRNA from 1 species